AACGAACGCUGGCGGCAGGCUUAACACAUGCAAGUCGAACGAGAUCUUCGGACCUAGUGGCAGACGGGUGAGUAACGCGUGGGAACGUGCCUUUCGGUUCGGAAUAACUCAGGGAAACUUGAGCUAAUACCGGAUACGCCCUUCGGGGGAAAGAUUUAUUGCCGAAGGAUCGGCCCGCGUCCGAUUAGCUAGUUGGUGUGGUAAUGGCGCACCAAGGCGACGAUCGGUAGCUGGUCUGAGAGGAUGAUCAGCCACACUGGGACUGAGACACGGCCCAGACUCCUACGGGAGGCAGCAGUGGGGAAUAUUGGACAAUGGGCGCAAGCCUGAUCCAGCCAUGCCGCGUGAGUGAUGAAGGCCCUAGGGUUGUAAAGCUCUUUCGCCAGGGACGAUAAUGACGGUACCUGGAUAAGAAGCCCCGGCUAACUUCGUGCCAGCCGCCGCGGUAA
rnacentral:rRNA from 1 species